rnacentral:rRNA from 1 species
CCCUUAGAUGUCCUGGGCCGCACGCGCGCUACACUGAUGCAUGCAACGAGUUUAUAACCUUGGCCUGAAAGGUCUGGGUAAUCUUUUGAACGUGCAUUGUGAUAGGGAUAGAUUAUUGCAAUUGUUAAUCUUGAACGAGGAAUUCCUAGUAAACGCGAGUCAUCAGCUCGCAUUGAUUACGUCCCUGCCCUUUGUACACACCGCCCGUCGCACCUACCGAUUGAAUGGUUCGGUGAAGAUCUCGGACUUCGAUAUUUAUUCUUUAUUGAGUUUAUAUUGUGGGAAGUUAUCUAAACCUCAUCAUUUAGAGGAAGGUGAAGUCGUAACA